CUAAUAGUGAUCAUGAGGGGUUAGCCCUCAUGCUCAUGUGCCUAAGCACCAACCACACACCUACAAACAUGCAAGCACUCACUAUGCACCCACACAUGCUAGAACAACUACACACACCUACACAUACCUAGUGCCAACACCUGCACUCACACAUGCACUAAGCCUAGGCACAAAAGAAACAAUCACAAGGUUAACAAUUCAGCCCAAUACCAACUACUGCAC
rnacentral:lncRNA from 1 species